UCUGCAUCUUGUGUUGUAAGCCAAAGCAGUUCCCAGUUGCCACUUUUGGAAGAGAAUUAAAAGCACUUUGUGACUGAUCCAAGAGUCAGACCUGGAAUGUGUAAGCCUGUUUUUGUCUACUCAAGCGGCAAGGGAAGGCAACAUUUGCAGCUGACUGGAGGAAGAGGCCAGAUCUACUCAAAGAUGUUGAGAGGCACUAAUGCAUAGAGAGUGUCCAGUUUAUGGAACAGGAUGAAGGUGGAAAACAAGACAAUUGUGCCAAGAGAAGUUAUUUCAAUCACUCUGUGCCCUGAAAUGUUCUGCAUAAAGCUUAAAGCCUGUUCCAGUGGGUGGCACAAGAAGCACAAAAAACAG